rnacentral:misc_RNA from 1 species
GAUGAAGAACGCAGCGAAAUGCGAUAAGUAGUGUGAAUUGCAGAAUUCAGUGAAUCAUCGAAUCUUUGAACGCACAUUGCGCCCCUUGGUAUCCCGAGGGGCAUGCCUGUUCGAGCGUCAUUUCACCACUCAAGCCUGGCUUGGUGUUGGGCGACGUCCUCUUUGGGGACGCGCCUCGAAACGCUCGGCGGCGUGGCACCGGCUUUAAGCGUAGCAGAAUCUUUCGCUUUGGAAGUCGGGGCCCCGUCUGCCGGAAGACCUGCUCGCAAGGUUGACCUCGGAUCAGGCAGGGAUACCCGCUGAACUUAAGCAUAUCAAAGCGGAGGA